AUAACAAUACAGGACUCUUUUGAGGCUCUGCAAUUGGAAUGAGUACACUUUAAAUCCUUUAACGAGGAUCUAUUGAAGGGCAAGUCUGGUGCAGAGUGACUGACUCGUGCGUGCUGCCCUUGAAACUCCACUAUCGCCUGCUGCUCGCACAGUCUCUCCAGCAU